UUCAGACACCGGUUCACGUGCGAUCACCGCAGUUAAUCAACGUCGAGUCUGGUCAGUAACUAGAUGGAUGACCACUUGGGAAUACCAGUUGUUGUAAG